AUUCAAGGUUCUAGAUUCACAGAAGGAUGAUCAGGACUUGGAGGUGCUCAGACCAAACUCUCUGAAGGCUCCCCAAAGAGAAAUGUAAAAUCAGGAGAAGACGUAGGAAGUGACACAAAACAAGCAUCUUUAAAAGAAGCUGUCACUUCCUGAGAGGGACAGUUCUUCGUUCUUUGGAAGUGGAGGCUGGAAACCAUUCUUCAUUCUUUGGAGUGGAAGCUGGAACUGAGACCCUGUUCCUGGUGAGGCUGUUCUAAAAUCCCUUCCUUUGAACUGACACAUGAAGACAAAAAAGAUGAAGGUUAAAGAAGACUAAUGAUCCAUCUGUAACCAAGCUUGGGAAGUCACUUUUUUGCCUUUAUCUGAUAUGAUCCUUACCACUUAAACCUCCAAAUAAGAAACAAAAUAUCUCCAUCAGCUGGUGGAAAACUUCCCUGAGUAGGUCUGGAACUGAGGUAUUGUUGAUAGCUGACAGUUGAGGGAGAACUGUGAUUCAGAUUAUGAAAAGAACUAGAAUAUUUUUUAUAGAUGUAAGUUUGUAACUAAUUUUUGUCUCUCUCCCUGCCAGUGUAACCGUUUGAAUGUUAAUUUAAUUUUACAGAAUAUCAUUUAUGUAAAUGUAAUUAGAAGGGAAACAUGAUCGGGAGAUGCACAGCACCAAAGAGAAUUUAUUACUCCAAGGGGUAUUGCUCUAAUCAUUCAACUGCAAUAUUGAGUUUCCCCAGAUUUAAUCUAAAAGCAAUAAAUUACAAAAGGCUAAUGUCCUGCCCAACAAAAAGCUGUCACGAACCCAAGUUACUGAGGGAAAAAAAAUCGAGAGAAAAGUCCUCAACUUUAUUUCAGCAACAGGCUUUCUGUUAGAAAAUCCAGCAUAUAUAAAACACAAAAAAUAAAGCUGUGCUUUAUAUGAGAAUAACAUUAUUAUUUCUAAUUCUUUCCACAAUUCAACUGACCACCUUUUUUCUUUCCAGGGUUCUAUGUCUGCAUGAUGAUAAACAUAAUUACUGAAUGUCCUAAAUUCCAUUUUCCAGGUUAUCAAGAAAAGAAAAUGGAGGAAUAUAACCAAGAUUAAUAAUCUUCUUAUUCCUUUAUGGUGGUUCUACAGGGAAAUGGUGUAGCAAGGGAGUAAUACUGAAUAUGUAGUCAGAAAACCUAGGUUCAAAUUCUGACAGCUAUAAAUGUGACUUUGGACAGAGAGGUUUCUCUGUCCAUCUCUGUAGUGCUGGUGCUCCACACAUGUACCUUCAGCAAUACUUUGUUUUAUCUAAGUGCCAUCAAAAGUGGGAAUCCCUUCCUGGGACACCUGGAUAUUAAUCUUCUAUCUUGUAAUAUGUUAUAAAUGUCAUAUACCUACUUAUAUAUAUAUAAUAUACAUAUACAUACAAACAUGUUGUGCUCAUUAUAAUGCAGGAGGGAAGGAGCUGUUUCAUUUUUGUCUUUGUAGCAUCCUCAGGACUUAGAAAAGUGACUCCAUGUAAUAGGUGCUUGAUAAAUACAUGUUGAUUUAUGGAAAUAAUUUAUUUAUUUUAUUUCUGUUCAAUGAGGGGGUUUAACAAUAUAAACCACUUAGUUCCCUUUUUGCUCAAACUCCAGAAGAAAGGGAAAAGUUUUGGUAUACAUGUCAAAAUCUUGAUGCUCCAUUUUGUUUCCAUGUUUCUGGAUAGAGCAUUACAAACCACCCAAUCUUGAAAUCUCAGUCACUUUUAUCUCUUCUUUUCUCUUUUCCUCCCUUAUAUAUUUAAUUUGUUUUCAACCUUGUCAAAUCUAAUGCCAUGUAAUUACAGAUUGUUCAAGUUGUAAGAACUCUAGAUAUCAUCCAAUCCUAUCAUUUUUAUUUCAUGGAUGAGGAAACUGAAGCUGUGAGGGCUCUCAAUGUUACAUAAUUAGUGAUAGUAUUGUAAUUCAAAAACCCAAAUCUUUGUCUAAUGUUUCUUCUUGGUAGGUGUGGCAGUGGUGGUUUAUCCAUUUUUUUGUUUUUCCCUACUGUAAUACUUUGGCACUAGAUGCCUUAUAUCUAUUCUUUCUUUUUCCUUCCCAUUGGACUUACCCCAGUUCAAGUAUUUAUUGCCUCUCCCUUGAAUUACUCAUUUAACUACUGAAAUAGCUUUUUAAUAGAAUUCCCCUUCUCCAGUCUCUCCUGCCACCAAUCCAUCCUACAAAGUACUGACAGAUUAAUCUUGCUAGAGCAUACUUGUAAGUAUGUCAUCAUACUUUAAAUUAUUUACCAUUCCUUCACUGACCAUUCAAGGCUCUUCAUAUCCCAACUUUUCCAACUUUUCUCUUACUACUUAUUUGCCCUACAUCAUUCUUUUAUAACACAGUUGACUAUGGUCCCAUUUUCUCCAUGCCAUCUCUGUUACCUUUUACUUUAUUGGGAUUCUCAUACGUUGACACUCACUGAAAAGUUUGGGUUAUCAAUGGUUCAAACACCUAGUAGCUAUUUUAAUUCAGAUUUAGGUGCUUAAUAACUAGCACCCCAGUUCCAUUUAAAUACUUAACACUAGAUUAGUUUUUGCAAAGUUAUAUUUACUUCAAAGAUAUAGCAAGAACAAUCAAACAUUUCCCUCAAUAUCUUGGGGUUAUAAUUCUCCCACCCCAAACAAUCUCAGCCUGGGUUAAAGAAGAAUUAGGCUCACAGGUUAGCUUAGUUUCUACAUAGUAUUUUCCCCAUAGAUUUCAUGUCUAAAAAAAGCAGUACUUUCUUCUGAUGGGCUAGUAUCCCCUCAGUUUCACCACUUUGCUUAAUUCCUAGACUUGUGGCUCCUCUUGGCUGAUGCUCCUAGGCCAGUUUGGAAACUCAACUCAUGCAAUGGAAAAGAGUGAACAAAAAGGUCUAAGACCCAGGUCCAUUUCUUAAGGCUAUAGGACCUAUAUGGGAGAAGAUGAAGAAGAAGCACCCUCUCUCCCCUUUCCCCUUAUUUGAUGGAAUGAGUAAAGGAACCCUUCACCCUCAGGCUCAAAAAUAGAAUAAUUGCAUUGCUGAAUAAUGACAGUUUAAAGACAUGGAUGGCUCUAACUAUAUAGCCAAUGGAGGUAGGCUGGGGUGCAGGAAACUAUUCUCAAGGUAGGCUAGUAAUUCAUUCAUGCAACAUUCUUUCUGCCUCUCAAAAGCAAUCCCCUAGAAGGCUAUAAGUAAAUAAGUAUUUGUUAUGCAUCUAUUAUGUGCUAGCCACUGUACCAAGUGAUUUACAAAUAAUAUUUGAUCCUCAUAGCAGUCCUUGGAAGUAAGUGCUAUUAUUAUCUCCAUUUCACACUUAAGGAAACUGAGGUAGGUGGAGGCUAUGGGACUACCCUUACAUGGUUCACAUGGCUAGUGUUUGAGGUUGGAUUUGAACUCAUGUCUCCUGGACAUUAAAGCCAGCACUCUGUCCCCUGCUUCACCUAGCUGCCACCAUUGGGUCAUACCAUUUUAGGAGAUCUAGGCAGCACUAAAUUCCAAUUAUGGAUUUCUUAAUGAAGCUAGUCUAUUUAACAUACCACAUUCCUAGUCUAGAUGCCUUCCACAUAAAUGCACUUGUUUAAACCUGAUACAAUAUUCCUCCCUAAAAGAAAUGGUACAGGGUCCAGUUUAAAUGCAGCAUCUUUAGAAAUUCUUCCAUAAUUUGUGCUAGCCAGAAAAGUGCUGGACAUUGAGUUGAGAAGACCUGAAUUGAAUCAUGUCUCAUAUUUUAACUAUGUAACCAUGGGCAAGUCACUUAAAUUCUAUUGGUCUCAGUUUCCUCUUCUGUAAAAUGGAACAGUAAUAAGACAUGAGGAAAGCUAGGUUGUACAAUAGAUAGAGUGUUGGGCCUGGAGUCAGGAGAUUCAUCUUUAUGAGUUCAAAUCUGACUUCAGAUACAUACUAGCUGUGUGACCCUGGGCAAGUCACCUAACUCUGUUUAACUCAGUUCCUCCUCUAUAAAAUUAUCUGGAGAAGGAAAUGGGAAAUCAGUGUAGUAUCUUUUGCCAAAGAAACCAUACCUAGGGCCAAAAGAGUAGGAGGUGACUAAAACACCUAAAUAAUAACAAAUAACACUUAUGUUAUUAGAUUGUCGUGCAAAUCAAAUGAAAUAAGUUACCUAAAUAAAUGUUAUUUUUGGUAUCAUUAUUAUUAUCUCUCACACUUUUGAGUUCUUAUUACAAUUUGCAUCCUUUUAUGCAUAUAACACAUUCUAUCAUAUCAUAAAACUAUAUUGUACGCAAAUAUGCCUCCACAAAAGUCUGAUCCUGAAGUCUCAUCAUUGCAUGGAAGUGAACUUGAAUUCUCUCAUGUUAUAACAGAGGAAUGCAAACUCUAGCAGUUUCUGCCUUGCUGGAAAAACUCCACAUAUGGUACUGGAAACAGAUUGUGUCUAUUUUUUAAGGACUAGCCAAAUAAAGUAAAAAAAUUAGCAAAAGCCUGGCUACCAACUAAUGAAUUCUUUAGCCAAAGCAAUCCCCAAAACAAGAACAAAAACAAAAUAGACCUUAGGCUUGCUUUGCCUUUUCCCACUUCCCUUGCAAAGAUGGAAGCCUAUUUAUAAGCAUUGAUUUAACUGCUGAUCAUCUAAAAGAAACACUUUUACAAUUACUUAAGCAUGACCAUCAGAACUGAAACAUUAAUCUUGACAUUUUCCCUAUCUUGUUGCUCAGUCAUUUUUCAGUCAUGUCUGACUCUGCAUGACCCCAUUUGGGGUUUUCUUGACAAAGAUAUUGGAGUGGUUUACACUUUCCUUCUCCAGCUCAUUUUACAGAUAAGAAAAUUGAGGCAAACAGGUUGAAGUGAUACCACAUUCUCCCUCUUGUUAGAGAAGUCCCUAUUCUUGGAAUGUUCUGCUUCUUUAUAACCACUUCACAGCACUUAGAUCCUUGGCUUCUUUCAAGGCUCAGAUCAAAUCUCACAUUCUGCAAGAAGCUUAAGAUUAUUACUGUUUGGUCAUUUCAAUCAUAUCCAGCUCUUCAUGUCUCCAUUUGAGGUUUUAUUGGCAAAGAUAUUGGAACAGUUUGCUAUUUCUUCUCCAGUGUGUUCGAAUUUUACAGAUGAGGAAACCGAAGCAAACAGAGCUAAGGGAUUUGCCCAACAUCAUAAAGCUAUUAAUUGUCUAAGGCCAGAGUUGAAUUUAUGAAGAUGAUCUUUCCCAACUCCAGGCCUGGCACUCUAUCUACUGUACCACCUAGCUGCUCCUUCUAAGAUUUCCUCCUAUUUAUUUUGUGUGUAUAUUUAUAUAUUCAUAUAUAUGUACCUAUUUUUAAUCUAGUCAUUCCUAAUUUAGUCAAUCCUCUUCAUAUACUAUCACUGUUGAUAAAAACGUUAUUCUCUUUUUUGGUGUCAGAUAUAUUUGUCUAAACUCAGACCUACCUUGAGUUUAAAUAUAAUAGAGUUCCAGGUAAAUCUUUCAUUCCAUGAUCCAGUUUUCUAACUGUUUUAAAGAAUUAUUUCUUUCCUUAAAAAACUUAGAAUGGAAAUUCCUUAAAGCAGAGUCCUUUCCAUGUGUAUUGUAGUAUUUAGCAUAGCAUCUGACAUAUAAGUAAAUAUUUGUUGAAUGACUUACCAUACCUACAUGUUAUAAAAUAAGAAUUAACUUACAGAGAGUAAAUCAAUCAAAUAAGCAAUAAAACAAUCAGCCUCUGCAGAAAAACUAUAGGUUGCUUGGGAACUAUUAAUAUUAUUGAGAAACAAGACUAAGUCUGGCAUAGUGUAUCAAGAGCUGGUCUCAGAGCCAGGAUGAAAUGAAUUUAAAUAUACUGUGAUUGACUGUGAUCCUAGACAAUUGUUAAAAUUUGUCAUUGUCCUUGGCAGCUCUUAUUCUAUGAUCUGCAGAGAAGCUAUUGACAUGUAUUGGUAGAGGGAGUUUACUUAUUUGGGAAUACCAACAAAAUCAGAAGUCUGGUCUCUUUUUCUGUGAGAAGCUCUGUGAUGAGUAGAAGAAAGAACACUGAAAUGAAAAUUUGGAGAAACCUAGGUUUUAGCCUGUCUUUCAUAGUUACUUGCUAUGAAAUAAUGGACAAAUUGCUUAGGUGCUCUGAGUUCUUUUUCUCUUCUAUCAUAAAAGUUUAUCACUUGUGACUUGUUAGGGUUGCAUGAGAUAAUGGGUGGGCAUUUUGCCACCUUGAAGUUCAGAAGAGAACCAGGACAGAGAAACUGUGAUCACCAAGAGAUAGAAAACUCCAAAAUGAAUAGACUCCUACUACGCAUAUUGGCACCUUCUCUCUAGCUUUUAAUCUUAAAAGUUGUCUAGGACACUAUGAGAUUAAGUAACAUGCCCAUUGUUAUACCACUAAUGUUUGUCAGAGGCAACCUUAAAAUACUAUAUAAUUGUGAUUUGGGGAAGGAAGGGAGGGAGCGAGGAGUAUGGAAGGAAGAAUGGAGGGGUUGAGGGAAGAAGAGAAGGAGAAGAAGGUGAGAAGGAAGAAAAGAAAUGGAAUAGAGGAAAGGAAGGAAGAGAGAAGAGAAAGAGAAAGAAUGAAAAGGAGGCAGAAAUGGAGGAGAAAGAAAGGAGGGAGAAAUAGAAGGGACAAAAGAAGGGAAGGAGAGGAGGAGAAAGGAAAAGAAGGAAAGAAGAGAAGAGAUAACCUCUAUGUAAAAGAAGGAAAAGAUGAGAUGUAAAUUCUGCUUUUAUUAUUAAUUCUUAAGAAGUAUUAUAUGGAUAAAAUUAUUUUAAAAUAGUUCUUUCCACUUUAUAGAUGAAGAUAUAUGGAUUGUAUACUGUGCAUCUGCCAAUCACAUUAUCAUUUAAUCAUUUUGUUUUAUUGAGUUAGAUAACAAGUGAUUUUUGUAAAAAAGGGAUCCUCUCUGCUGUGAAGGGCUCAGACCAUUCUCCUUUACCUUUCUCUAAUAAUACCAUGGGCUUCUUUUUGUAAGAUUUUCUAUCUCAAGGCUAUUGUAUUUUAUCUCUUACACAACUUUCUCCCCAUAGUAAAUAUCUCAAGAGCAUUAAAUUAAGUGAUUUUUUGUCACAGCUCUUCUAUCAUAUUACAAAUCUAAUUGGCUAAUUAUUUCUUUACCUCAGAGAUGUUUAAUUAUUAGAUAGUUUAUUUCUUUGGAGACAGCUUGCACAGGCACACCAGUCUAUACAGACAUCAAAAUAGUAAACUCUUUCCCUACCUUCUUGUAAUAAGAGGCCAUGAAGAGUUUUCCCUCACAAUAAAAUAAUUUUUCUAUGAUUUAUUCUAACAAAUACAUCAUGUGAAACUUUUCAAUUGCCUAUUUAGAUGUCACUAAAACACAGGGGAAAGAACGUGCUUGGAAACUGUUGACAAGUCUAUUCAGAUUUAGGAAUGAAAACAGCAAAGCAUCAUAUGUACGUGCUUGUUCCUUGCAGAAGAUAUGACUGUGAGUUAGGAGAAUUGAAUUCUGGUUCCAGAAUUCCCCCUAAUUAUGUGACCUUAGAAAAAUAAUUUCAUCACUUAGAUCAUUAACUUGUUCAACUGUUAGGCAUGGGGGUUAGAGAGAUGAAUGUCAAAGUCAGGAUUGUAUUGGACUGGAAUCUCCUCAGUUAAGAAGAUUGUUAUACUUUCAAUAUGACCAUAUAUAUUUUACAAAUUGACAAAUGCUACAAAUCAGAUCUGAAUUUAUUGCAUUAUUUGUUGUCUAGCCUUAAAAACAUGAAAAAGAAAACAUUAAAAAGCAGAUUAACCUUCAAAAUGUGUCAUACUUUUAUUUUACAGAGAGCUGAUUAUUAAACAUUUAUUACCAAGUAAAGCCCAUUUUGGCUCUAACCCUUUAUGAUCAUUGCACGUGAAUGAUAGAGAAACACUAACUCUGUUAAAUAAGUUCACAUGGAGUGUUCUACAAAAAUAACAAUAUAAUAUUUUAUAUUUAUUUUGGCAAUUUAAACUUUGCAAAGCAUUUUACAUGUUAUCACAUGUAAUCUUCAUUAAAACUCUUUUUGUUGAUACUAUUAUUACCACCCCUUUUUAUGAGGAAUAUUAUCCCUUUUUAUUUAUUUAUUUUUUUAAUCCUAACUUUCUGUCUUAGAACCAAUACUGAUUAUUGGUUCCAAGGCAGAAGAGUGAUAAGGGCUAGGCAAUGGGGGUUAAGUGACUUUCCUAGGCUCACACAGAUGGGAAAUGUCUGAGGCCAGAUUUGAAUUUAGGACAUUCCAUCUCUAGACCUGACUCUCCAUCCACUGAACCACCAAGCUGUACCAUAUUAUGCCUUUUUAAAUGAGGAAUAUGAUGUUAAGUGAUUAUCCAGGAUCAAGUGUCUGAUAAGUAUCUGAGGAAGAGUUUGAUCUCAGUUCUUCCUGACACUCUCUUUUUAAUAUUUUUUCAGUCUUUCACUAAGCAUUUAUUUUUAAAAGUUUUCCACUACAUUUUCUGUUGAUGCAAUUUUUAAUAAUUGUUUUCUGACAUUUUGUGAUCCGUGUUCUCUCCCUUCCAUUCCUCAUCUUUCCCAAGAUAGCAGGUACUCUAGGUUGUACAUAUGUUAUCACGUUAUACAUAUUUCCCCAUCUUUCAUGUUGUGAAACAAGACACAUAUUGCUUACACUAGAGAAAAAUUCAUGGAGGAAAUAAGAAUGGUAUGCUUCAGUCUGCAUUCAAACUGUCAGUUCCUUCUAAGGCAGUAGCCUUUUCCACCAGGAGUGUCUUGUAAUUGUCCUAGAUCCUUGCAUUACUAAUAAUAGUUGUCAUUCACAGGUGAUCAGAGUGAAUUAUUGCUGUUGCCUUCCUGACUUUCAAUCCCAAACUCUAACCACUACACCAGAGGGGUCAAAUACAUGUGUGCAUCCCAUAACACUCCAGAGUAAGGCAUAAACCAGAUUAACAUGU